GUGACAGAAAAAAGAAUAAGCAUUUAAAAUCACGCUAUGAACCUUUUUGUUUCACGGUUUACAAGGAAAUGACUCGGUAAUGAAAAUAAUCCCACUGUUUAUGUUCAGCAACCAUUUGCUUAGCACCAGUAGUUUUGUAAAGUUAUUCAAGAUAACUGCAAAUGGUAGUUCCUAAAUCAGAAGAAUUCUGUCAAACAUCUUUCCUGCGUGAACUUUUAAAGAUAUUGCUAUACCAAAGGGCACCCAAUGGAGAAAGUGGGCUUCAUUAACGAUUCAAACUCUUUGAUUCUAACAGCCUGGUUGCAAACUGUUAGCCAUUUCUCUGCAAUGAAUGUAUUUAUUAUCCAGUCUUCGACACCCACAAAUGCCAAGGAAGGGAUGUCGGCCUUUGUAAUCUGACACCGAUCUACCAUUGGGACGGCCAACGGCUCCCCUACACUGGCAGCUGUCUCGGAAAAUUUCAACGAGAAAAAAGGAAAGAAUUUCUUCACAAGUUAUUCCAUCAUCUAUAUGCAUUGUCCAUUUUUAUAGAUCAUUUUAACUUUCACAGUGUUUCUGUGGCCAUCUGGACAGGGAAAAAUUUACAAGAAUAUUAUUUUAACCGAAACAACUGUCGAAUUGUUCAUCCCCGUUCCGACUGAAUUAAGACUCGCUGGGGUUCGAAAUCAUACAGGCAGGAGAAAACAAAAUGCCUCUUUUUUAUUAGCAGGUUGAUUGUAAAAGAAAUCGGUGACGUCAUUUCGGGAAUUGUGAGGACUCCACGUGCCGAACUUUCGAAGAGGAUAAGAAAAAAGGCGUAAAAUAUAACCCACACCCCAACAAAGAAUGGAACAUACAAAAAUAUAUAAAUAAAAGAAAAACAAAAAAAAAA